rnacentral:rRNA from 1 species
GACGAACGCUGGCGGCGUGCUUAACACAUGCAAGUCGAACGGAAAGGCCCUGCUUUUGUGGGGUUCUCGAUUGGCGAACGGGUGAGUAACACGUGAGUAUCCUGCCCUUGACUUUGGGAUAACUUCAGGAAACUGGGGCUAAUACCGGAUAUGAGCUCCUGCUGCAUGGUGGGGGUUGGAAAGUUUCGGCGGUUGGGGAUGGACUCGCGGCUUAUCAGCUUGUUGGUGGGGUAGUGGCUUACCAAGGCUUUGACGGGUAGCCGGCCUGAGAGGGUGACCGGCCACAUUGGGACUGAGAUACGGCCCAGACUCCUACGGGAGGCAGCAGUGGGGAAUAUUGCACAAUGGGCGGAAGCCUGAUGCAGAAACGCCGCGUGCGGGAUGACGGCCUUCGGGUUGUAAACCGCUUUCGCCUGUGACGAAGCGUGAGUGACGGUAAUGGGUAAAGAAGCACCGGCUAACUACGUG